AUUGAACGCUGGCGGCAGGCUUAACACACGCAAGUCGAGCGGAUGAGGGGAGCUUGCUCCUUGACUCAGCGGCGGACGGGUGAGUAAUGCCUAGGAAUCCGCCUGGUAGUGGGGGAUAACGUUCCGAAAGGAACGCUAAUACCGCAUACGUCCUACGGGAGAAAGCAGGGGACCUUCGGGCCUUGCGCUAUCAGAUGAGCCUAGGUCGGAUUAGCUAGUUGGUGAGGUAAUGGCUCACCAAGGCGACGAUCCGUAACUGGUCUGAGAGGAUGAUCAGUCACACUGGAACUGAGACACGGUCCAGACUCCUACGGGAGGCAGCAGUGGGGAAUAUUGGACAAUGGGCGAAAGCCUGAUCCAGCCAUGCCGCGUGUGUGAAGAAGGUCUUCGGAUUGUAAAGCACUUUAAGUUGGGAGGAAGGGCAGUAAGUUAAUACCUUGCUGUUUUGACGUUACCAACAGAAUAAGCACCGGCUAACUUCGUGCCAGCAGCCGCAGUAAUAC
rnacentral:rRNA from 1 species